UGGGGAAUCUUGCGCAAUGGGCGAAAGCCUGACGCAGCAACGCCGCGUGCGGGAAGAAGGCCUUCGGGUUGUAAACCGCUUUCAGAAGGAACGAAACUGACGGUACUUUCAGAAGAAGGUGCGGCCAACUACGUGCCAGCAGCCGCGGUGACACGUAGGCACCAAGCGUUGUCCGGAUUUAUUGGGCGUAAAGAGCUCGUAGGCGGUUCGGUAAGUCGGGUGUGAAAACUUUGGGCUCAACCCAAAGCGUGCACUCGAUACUGCCGUGACUAGAGUUCGGUAGGGGAGUGGGGAAUUCCUAGUGUAGCGGUGAAAUGCGCAGAUAUUAGGAGGAACACCGGUGGCGAAGGCGCCACUCUGGGCCGAAACUGACGCUGAGGAGCGAAAGCGUGGGUAGCAAACAGG
rnacentral:rRNA from 1 species